rnacentral:hammerhead_ribozyme from 1 species
AUCUAGCUGAUGAGUCCAAAAUAGGAAGAAACGCACGUGCUCGAU